rnacentral:rRNA from 1 species
GACGAACGCUGGCGGCGUGCCUAAUACAUGCAAGUAGGACGCAGUUGCGAACGGGUGAUUUACGCGUAGGUAACUGCCUAUUAGAGGGUGAUAACUAUUUGAAACGAUAGCUAAUACCGCAUACUAGUAGAUGGACCUGCGUUGUAUUAGCUAGUAGGUAGUGUAAUGGCCUACCUAGGCGAAGGUACAUAGCCAACCUGAGGAGGUGAUCGGCCACACGGGGAAUGGGAAACGGCCCAGACUCCUACGGGAGGCAGCAGUAGGGAAACUUCGGAAAUGGGGGGAAACCUGACCGAGUAACGCCGCGUGAGUGGAGGAGGUUUUCGGAUCGUAAAGCUCUGUUGUUAAGGAAGCGGUACUUAACCAGAAAGGGACGGCUAACUACGUGCCAGCCGCCGCGGUAAUUC